ensembl:ncRNA W02G9.8 ncRNA
CCUCCAAAAUUCACAAAUUUAAAAAUUUUUUCACUGUUUCCUAAAAAAACCCAAAAAAACCCUUUUCGUUUUUUUCUCAAAAAAGUUGCUUUUUUAAAAUUUUUUGCCGGAAUUAUUUUUAUAAAAAAAA